rnacentral:rRNA from 1 species
GUUGGCGGGGUAACGGCCCACCAAGGCGACGAUCAGUAGCCGGCCUGAGAGGGUGAACGGCCACAUUGGGACUGAGACACGGCCCAAACUCCUACGGAAGGCAGCAG